rnacentral:rRNA from 1 species
AUUGAACGCUGGCGGCAUGCCUUACACAUGCAAGUCGAACGGUAACAGGUAAAGCUGACGAGUGGCGAACGGGUGAGUAAUACAUCGGAACGUGCCCAGUAGUGGGGGAAAGCCCGGCGAAACCCGGAUUAAUACCGCAUAAGACCUAAGGGUGAAAGGGGGGGAUCGCAAGACCUCCCGCUAUUGGAGCGGCCGAUGUCAGAUUAGCUAGUUGGUGGGGUAAAGGCUCACCAAGGCGACGAUCUGUAGCUGGUCUGAGAGGACGACCAGCCACACUGGGACUGAGACACGGCCCAGACUCCUACGGGAGGCAGCAGUGGGGAAUUUUGGGCAAUGGGCGCAAGCCUGAUCCAGCCAUGCCGCGUGCGGGAAGAAGGCCUUCGGGUUGUAAACCGCUUUUGUCAGGGAAGAAAUCCUUUGGGUUAAUACCUCGGGGGGAUGACGGUACCUGAAGAAUAAGCACCGGCUAACUCCGUGCCAGCAGCCGCGGUAAAAC